CGCUCGCGCUGCAGUUGAAAUCAACCGGGAAACUUGACCAGAAUGAAGAUUAAAGUGGAAUUAUUUUUAAUACUCGCUACGAUUGCACUGGCCAGUGGCUUCCGCAUGCCCGACUGUCCGCAUUGGAGUAAAUGCUGGAAGGAUUACAAAGCUGGACGAGUUAUUUACUAAAUGUCAAAUUGUAAAACUCUAAAAUUCUGUAUUUAAAUAUUUAACAAUGUGUGCGUGUGUGUGUCUAGCUGUAUAUUUAGUGCCUAGCAAUGUCAACAUGAUCAAAACUCUGUACAAAUAGUAAAUAAACAGUUUAUUAAUCGAAAUGCGAAAU